rnacentral:rRNA from 1 species
AUGACGCAGAGGCUGCCUGAUAGUUUUAUGAACAUGCUGAUGGGUGAAGAUCCGCCAAAUAAUGUGAAGCUGCGACAGGACGGCAGCGAGUUUCGCAGGCAGUGGGAUGUGGAGUUGGUGAUCAAGAAGGGCCACAUGUACUUGUCUCGUGGGUGGGAGAAGUUCUACCGUGCCUACGACCUGCGGCUGGGGUACUUCCUUCUCUUCAGGUACGACGACGACGCCACCAUGCUCAUCGUGAAUGUGUUCAACACGACUAUGUGUCGCAUGCGCUAUGCUGCCAAUGAUGAUGCCGGUAAUGGGAGCAGUAGCAGCGACACUGGCUACACCCAAAGCAGCAGCGACUAUGGCUAUAGCGAAAGCAGCUGCGAUUCUGGCUGUAGCGAAAGCAGCAGCGAUUCUGGCAGCAGCAUAGACAACAAGAAGGAUGAUCCGGACUGGAGUGCGGGAGAAGAGGAGCAGAGUGAGGAUGAGGAGCUGCAGGAUGACGAUGGGCAUCAAGCUGAGGAUGACCUAGCGCUGGUGGUGGCUGACCAAGGGCAAGAGAUGGUGGUGGCUGACCAUGGGCAAUAG